AUGUACCCAAUUGCAUGGGCAGUAGUUGAGAAGGAGAAUAAUGACUCAUGGGAUUGGUUCUGUGAUUUACUGUUUAGAGAUUUGGAAGUGGAAGAUGGUCAAGGCUGGGUGUUCAUAUCUGACCAGCAGAAAGUGAGUGCUACAUAA
rnacentral:rRNA from 1 species